GACGAACGCUGGCGGCGUGCUUAACACAUGCAAGUCGAGCGGAAAGGCCCUUUUCGGGGGUACUCGAGCGGCGAACGGGUGAGUAACACGUGAGCAACCUGCCCUGGACUUUGGGAUAACCCUCGGAAACGGGGGCGUAAUACCGGAUAUGACCUUCGCUCGCAUGGGUGUUGGUGGAAAGUUUUUCGGUUUGGGUAUGGCGUCGCGGACGUAUCAGCUUGUUGGUUGGGGUGGAUGGCCUACCAAGGCGACGACGGUUAGCCGGCCUGAGAGGGC
rnacentral:rRNA from 1 species